AGAAAAUUAGUUAACCUAUAACAUUAGCUUGUCAUGCUAAAAUUAUCACAAGAUAUUUUCUU
rnacentral:tRNA from 2 species